GAUGAACGCUAGCGGCAGGCCUAAUACAUGCAAGUCGAACGGGAUCUGAGGGUAGCUUGCUACCCGAUUUGAGAGUGGCGCACGGGUGCGUAACGCGUGAGCAACCUACCCAUAUCAGGGGGAUAGCCCGAAGAAAUUCGGAUUAACACCGCAUAACAAUACGUUAACACAUGUUAAUGUAUUUAAAUAUUUAUAGGAUAUGGAUGGGCUCGCGUGACAUUAGCUAGUUGGUAAGGUAACGGCUUACCAAGGCGACGAUGUCUAGGGGCUCUGAGAGGAGAAUCCCCCACACUGGUACUGAGACACGGACCAGACUCCUACGGGAGGCAGCAGUAAGGAAUAUUGGUCAAUGGGCGCAAGCCUGAACCAGCCAUGCCGCGUGCAGGAUGACUGCCCUAUGGGUUGUAAACUGCUUUUGUUAGGGAAUAAACCUACUUAUGUAUAAGUAGCUGAAUGUACCUAAAGAAUAAGGAUCGGCUAACUCCGUGCCAGCCGCCGCUGUAA
rnacentral:rRNA from 1 species